GUGAGGACCUCAUUCUACCAAUAUAGUUUAAUCAUUGGAGGUCCCUUCCCUAGAACACUGGAUUUCAUAGGAAGGUUUAUUCUUUAUACAGAUUGAGUUUUCGUGUUACUAGGCUAUUGGGCUCCUGUUGCCAUGGGAAAGCGGAGUUUAUGUUCACGUGCAAAGGAUUUUGAAGGGAGGCCUGACCUGAGUUGCUCUCUCAUCAUGCGAGCAUCCACUGAGCCAGGUGAAUGGGGCUGUUGGUUUACUGCUCUGCUGUUGGGAAAUGGCUCCAGAGUGACAGUCAAGUGUAAUACCAAGUGAUCACUGCGGUCAUGUGACCAUCAUCUCUGCUCUCGGUCUUUGGAAAGCCUCCUUACUGGUCUCCCUGCUUCCAUCUAAAUUUCUUAGCAUGUGGCAUGUUUUCAACAGGAAGGAGGAGGUCUCUUGGUGUCAGUCUCUCAAAGAAUCUUCUGUGCAG